UAAAGCUUUCAUUUACUUCACUUUUCUCACAACUACUCAGAAAUCCCAGAAAACCAAAAGAAUGAACAAGAAUUGGAAAUUCUACUUCUCUCUUCCUCACCCACUCACAAAGCGGAGGAAACUGAAUUUUUUUUUUCCCUUCACUGAUUACCAACUGGUCGCGCAGAAUACAGUGACAAAAACGGCGAUUCCAGCCAAGGCCGUGACGGCUAAAGCUGUUGUAGAGUUAGGAGCUGCUAAUGCCCACCAGAAUCCUCCACCGCCG
rnacentral:misc_RNA from 1 species